AGGAGAUUACAUAAUGAAGCGUAUGCGGAACGAAUAGUACUGAUGCAGAAUGGAGAAGAAGAUUGAGAAUGAGAAUCAUGGAGAGGUGAACAGAGGUCGAGAGAGAUGAAGAUUGAAUGAUUGAAGAUGGAGAUUGAAGAGUGGAAAGUGCAGAAUUGUUUCUUCCCGUGAAUGUUUCAUUCAGGUUCAAAUUUUGGAACUAAUAGCUGUGGCAGUGGAUGUACACUACAGAUGAGAGUUGGGAUUUGCUAAGUGAAAAAAGCAAUCAAUGGAUUUGUUAGAGGAGGCCUUACUGUCAGGUUGUGACGUUAGGCCUUAGUGAAGUGGAUGAAUCCGAGGUUAGGUUGCGAACACAAGUGCUCCAAUGUGCUCACCAUUUUGCUUCUCAGCGGAUGAGACAGCAAGGGUUGUAUGGAUCAACUCGGGAUCGUAUUCAUGGCUGCAAUUUUUACUGGACCUGCGACAAGUUUUGCUUCUACAAACUGAGUUUGAUGGUUACUGUUAGGGAAUUUGGCAUGAUGGUUUCUGUUAGCAAUUUGUGUGUUAAUGAUGAGAUGAUUCAGUUCAAUUCUGUUAGUGCGAAAUUCUAUUAAGUUAGAUUUUGGAAAUGUUAUUGUAGAAUAGGUUUCAACUUAAUGUUUUGCUUAUGCUAAGACCAACUGUUAUGAGAUUAAAUUGAAAUGAAACCGAAUGAAUUUAUGCGGGUUUGAGAUGGCAGUGAGAUUAUGUUAUGAAUUUCGAUUAGUUUUGUUUGUAAUUAAGUUUUGAGCCGUUGAUUCGAUAUAUGCAGGAUUGUUUGAAAGUUAGCCUUUGGACGUAGUUAGUUGAAUUGUCAUGUUAGGUUGGUUAUGAGACUUACAAUUAGCUAUCGGUUUGUCUUGGUUAGAAUCCUGGUGCGGCUUACUUGAAUGAAUUAUUAGUAAUUAAUUAACCGAAAAGCUCCUAACUACACUAUGUUAAUCUGCACAUGAUGAUAUGAUGCAAUGUU